rnacentral:tRNA from 2 species
CAGAUAGCUCAGUCGGUAGAGCAAAGGACUGAAAAUCCUUGUGUCGGUGGUUCGAUUCCACCUCUGGG